AGUAUCUGAAAACCAGAAGCCGAAAGUGAUAGUCGACAAAAGUAAUCAUAUCCACAAAAAUGGAAGAUGUGAAGAAUUUUCUCCGCGUACUCAAACGAUUAGGCAGCACUUUAAGAAGCCUCGAAUUUUUUCGUACCACACGAUGUCGACUGGGUUAAAAAGAGAUCGGUUCUGGCCAGCUGAGAUCUGGCAAGAGCAGGGAUCAUCGAAAGGUGCGAUAUCUGAACGGCCGCCCAUCCGGUUUGAAAUACGGAUAUACUGGCAACGUAGACGAAGGUCGCGGAUGGAUUUCUUACGUCCAAGAACGUCCCGAAGAUCACGGGGAAGCUCAGGCUGACCAAGACCGAGCCCAACACGUGCCAAGCUUUUUUACUGCCAUAGCGAUCUACCAGGAUGCCGAAGACCGGUGUCAUAAGUGCGUCCACGAUUUGCCCUGAAGAAUGAAGAACUCCGAUCGGUAAUGAGAUAUUUUUUUCACAGUUCAGAAAUGGUCAUUUUUAAAGUACACAAAAACAAUAUGGAACCAAGGUCUAAACGGUGGAACUAAAGUUGUUGGAAUCGAAUUUUGUUGAAAGAAUCUCAACUGAUUACUUUGGGAAAAAUAAUUUCGAAUGCCACUGUUUUAAGUACAAAAAGUUUAUACAAUUCUUUUGCAAAUCUGGAAAAAUCUCAGUCCCCUUUUGAUUUUGUAAUACCAAAAUCGUAGCCAUUGUUUGUGUUAUUCGCAUGAUUUUAUUUAUAAAUGAUUAAUUGACCAACAAACCUCGUGAAAUCGGGAGAAUCGACAGGUUUCCAUAAAUCAAAAAAGCUCAUAAAACAGCAAAUUAUUGAUCUCAGCUUAUCAAAACUUUGGUUUUUCUUUCACUUCGAA